AUUGAACGCUGGCGGCAGGCCUAACCCAUGCAAGUCGAACGAGUGGCGGACGGGUGAGUAAUGUCUGGGAAACUGCCUGAUGGAGGGGGAUAACUACUGGAAACGGUAGCUAAUACCGCAUACCAUCGGAUGUGCCCAGAUGGGAUUAGCUAGUAGGUGGGGUAAAGGUUCACCAAGGCGACGAUCCCUAGCUGGUCUGAUAGGAUGACAAGCCACACUGGAACGGAGACACGGUCCAGACUCGUACGGGAGGCAGCAGUGGGGAAGAGUGAACAAGGGGCGCAAGCCUGAUGCAGCCAUGCCGCGUGUAUGAAGAAGGCCGUCGGGUUGUAAAGUACUUUCAGCGGGGAGGCGUUACCCGCAGAAGAAGCACCGGCUAACUCCGUGCCAGCAGCCGCGGUAAUAC
rnacentral:rRNA from 1 species